UGGGGAAUAUUGCGCAAUGGGGGAAACCCUGACGCAGCGACGCCGCGUGAGCGAUGAAGGACUUAGGGUUGUAAAGCUCUGUUUUAAGGGACGAAUGUUACGGGGAGUAAUAUGCCCUGUAAAUGACGGUACCUUAAGAGGAAGCCCCGGCUAACUACGUGCCAGCAGCCGCGGUAAGACGUAGGGGGCGAGCGUUGUCCGGAAUUACUGGGCGUAAAGAGCACGUAG
rnacentral:rRNA from 1 species